rnacentral:rRNA from 1 species
GAUGAACGCUGGCGGCGUGCCUAAUACAUGCAAGUCGAGCGAACGGACGAGAAGCUUGCUUCUCUGAUGUUAGCGGCGGACGGGUGAGUAACACGUGGAUAACCUACCUAUAAGACUUGGAUAACUUCGGGAAACCGGAGCUAAUACCGGAUUAUAUUUUGAACCGCAUGGUUCAAAAGUGAAAGACGGUCUUGCUGUCACUUAUAGAUGGAUCCGCGCUGCAUUAGCUAGUUGGUAAGGUAACGGCUUACCAAGGCAACGAUGCAUAGCCGACCUGAGAGGGUGAUCGGCCACACUGGAACUGAGACACGGUCCAGACUCCUACGGGAGGCAGCAGUAGGGAAUCUUCCGCAAUGGGCGAAAGCCUGACGGAGCAACGCCGCGUGAGUGAUGAAGGUCUUCGGAUCGUAAAACUCUGUUAUUAGGGAAGAACAUACGUGUAAGUAACUGUGCACAUCUUGACGGUACCUAAUCAGAAAGCCACGGCUAACUACGUG